UACGUAGGGUGCAAGCGUUAAUCGGAAUUACUGGGCGUAAAGCGUGCGCAGGCGGUCGUGCAAGACAGAUGUGAAAUCCCCGGGCUUAACCUGGGAACUGCAUUUGUGACUGCACGGCUGGAGUGCGGCAGAGGGGGAUGGAAUUCCGCGUGUAGCAGUGAAAUGCGUAGAUAUGCGGAGGAACACCGAUGGCGAAGGCAAUCCCCUGGGCCUGCACUGACGCUCAUGCACGAAAGCGUUGGGAGCAAACAGG
rnacentral:rRNA from 1 species